rnacentral:rRNA from 1 species
GACGAACGCUGGCGGCGUGCUUAACACAUUCAAGUCGAACGGAAAGGCCCUGCUUUUGUGGGGUGCUCGAGUGGCGAACGGGUGAGUAACACGUGAGUAACCUGCCCUUGACUUUGGGAUAACUUCAGGAAACUGGGGCUAAUACCGGAUAGGAGCUCCUGCUGCAUGGUGGGGGUUGGAAAGUUUCGGCGGUUGGGGAUGGACUCGGGGCUUAUCAGCUUGUUGGGGGGGUAGUGGCUUACCAAGGCUUUGACGGGUAGCCGGCCUGAGAGGGUGACCGGCCACAUUGGGACUGAGGUACGGACCAGACUCGUACGGGAGGCAGCAGUGGGGAAUAUUGCACAAUGGGCGGAAGCCUGAUGCAGAAACGCCGCGUGCGGGAUGACGGCCUUCGGGUUGUAAACCGCUUUCGCCUGUGACGAAGCGUGAGUGACGGUAAUGGGUAAAGAAGCACCGGCUAACUACGUG